rnacentral:rRNA from 1 species
GCACAAGCGGUGGAUGAUGUGGUUUAAUUCGAUGCAACGCGAAAACCUUACCCACCUUUGACAUGUACGGAACCCUUUAGAGAUAGAGGGGUGCUCGAAAGAGAGCCGUAACACAGGUGCUGCAUGGCUGUCGUCAGCUCGUGUCGUGAGAUGUUGGGUUAAGUCCCGCAACGAGCGCAACCCUUGCCAUUAGUUGCUACGAAAGGGCACUCUAAUGGGACUGCCGGUGACAAACCGGAGGAAGGUGGGGAUGACGUCAAGUCCUCAUGGCCCUUAUAGGUGGGGCUACACACGUCAUACAAUGGCCGGUACAGAGGGUAGCCAACCCGCGAGGGGGAGCCAAUCCCACAAAGCCGGUCGUAGUCCGGAUCGCAGUCUGCAACUCGACUGCGUGAAGUCGGAAUCGCUAGUAAUCGCGGAUCAGCAUGUCGCGGUGAAUACGCUCCCGGGUCUU